rnacentral:sRNA from 1 species
AGGCCAAAUGUUACAAUGAACUUAAUGGAUGCACCAAGAUAUAUGACCCUGUCUGUGGGACUGAUGGAAAUACUUACCCCAAUGAAUGCGUGUUAUGUUUUGAAAAUCGGAAACGCCAGACUUCUAUCCUCAUUCAAAAAUCUGGGCCUUGCUGAGAACCAAGGUUUUGAAAUCCGAUCAGGCCACCGCGAGGCCUGACUGGCCUCAUUGUUGAAUAAAUGUAUCUGAAUAUCCCCUGUUGUUU